AUUGAACGCUGGCGGCAUGCUUUACACAUGCAAGUCGAACGGUAACAGGCCGCAAGGUGCUGACGAGUGGCGAACGGGUGAGUAAUGCAUCGGAACGUGCCCAGCCGUGGGGGUUAACUACUCGAAAGAGUAGCUAAUACCGCAUACGAUCUAUGGAUGAAAGCGGGGGACCGUAAGGCCUCGCGCGAUUGGAGCGGCCGAUGUCAGAUUAGGUAGUUGGUGGGGUAAAGGCUCACCAAGCCAACGAUCUGUAGCUGUUCUGAGAGGACGACCAGCCACACUGGGACUGAGACACGGCCCAGACUCCUACGGGAGGCAGCAGUGGGGAAUUUUGGACAAUGGGCGCAAGCCUUGUCCAGCAAUGCCGCGUGCAGGAAGAAGGCCUUCGGGUUGUGAACUGCUUUUGUGCGGAACGAAACGGCUCUGGUUAAUACCCGGGGCUAAUGACGGUACCGUAAGAAUAAGCACCGGCUAACUACGUG
rnacentral:rRNA from 1 species